rnacentral:sRNA from 1 species
AGGAAUCUGAAAAAGAGCUCAAGACGAA